rnacentral:rRNA from 1 species
UAGGGAAUCUUCGGCAAUGGACGGAAGUCUGACCGAGCAACGCCGCGUGAGUGAAGAAGGUUUUCGGAUCGUAAAGCUCUGUUGUUAGAGAAGAACGUUGGUAGGAGUGGAAAAUCUACCAAGUGACGGUAACUAACCAGAAAGGGACGGCUAACUACGUGCCAGCAGCCGCGGUAAUACGUAGGUCCCGAGCGUUGUCCGGAUUUAUUGGGCGUAAAGCGAGCGCAGGCGGUUCUUUAAGUCUGAAGUUAAAGGCAGUGGCUUAACCAUUGUAGUCUUUGGAAACUGGAGGACUUGAGUGCAAAAGGGGAGAGUGGAAUUCCAUGUGUAGCGGUGAAAUGCGUAGAUAUAUGGAGGAACACCGGUGGCGAAAGCGGCUCUCUGGUCUGUAACUGACGCUGAGGCUCGAAAGCGUGGGGAGCAAACAGG